CGAAGUAAAGGGCACUUGCAGCCUCUCAUCAGAGGCUGCAUUACCCCUACUUACAGCGUCCCUGUCAGUACACAACGGGAGUCGACGUCUUUAUUUUAAUUGUGUUUUGGGGACUACUGAAUUUGUGAUAAAACAAAGAAUAAAUGUAAUUUUAAGGCUGUUUUCAUGUAGCCUAGUUACGUUCUUAUUUCAGAGCUAGGGCACAGCAGCAUAACCAUUUCAACAAGGACAUAAUACUACUCGCAAAUCCAUCAUGGGGAAUAGUGUACAAACAAGGUGCAAGAUUACGGCUACACAAACAUGGCCACACCCUCAGUGCCUUUGAAUUCCAGAAGGCCUGGGUCCACCAGAUUGUUAUAGAACUCAUCAGGGAUGGCUUCGGUGAGCACAUUCCGGAGGAUGUCAGCAUCCAGUUACUAAUGGCUUGUGGCAAUAAACUGGUGUCCCCUAAGAUCCAGGAGGGACAUGAGCUGAAUGGGAUGUUAAUCCAUAAGGUUUAUGUAACCAAAGCCCUGCAUGUGAGACCAUAAAGGAACUUUUUAACUGACUCGGAAGAAGAAAAUGAACUUUCCCACGUCAUUACCUCAUCAACGUCAACGUCAAGCAUGCUUGCAACUGCUGAGGACAGUGAUGAUGAUGGUCAUGUAGUUGAUGGUCUGCAAGUCCACAUAGGCAUUAGGGUGACCACCUGCUAAUAAGCCCAAGGGGGGACAAGGGGUAUGUUUCGGGGGGACAAUGGGGGACACUGCCUGGUGCGGCGGUGCCCCCACCUCACGGGCAGACUCACUGAUAGUGGUUUACCCAUUUCUAGCACAUACCACCUUACAUGAUAUAUAAAAAAUGCCCUAUUCCCCUAAACAUGUGUAAUUACUGAUGUAUGCUCAUGAAUAGGCCAACCAAUGUGUAUUUUUUUCUAAAUAAAGAUUCAGAAUACUUUGAACAUUCAAUGAAUUGACACACAGAUGCACUUCCACUCACGAUUUACUUUAGCUAUUUAAUUGUAUUUAUUUUUCAUUACAAUUUAUUCACUUUAAAUAAAUUCUAAUGUGAAAUUAUAGGAUUAACAUCGUAGUUGCUCAACAC